rnacentral:rRNA from 1 species
GAUGAACGCUGGCGGCGUGCCUAAUACAUGCAAGUCGAGCGAACAGAUAAGGAGCUUGCUCCUUUGACGUUAGCGGCGGACGGGUGAGUAACACGUGGGUAACCUACCUAUAAGACUGGAAUAACUCCGGGAAACCGGGGCUAAUGCCGGAUAACAUUUAGAACCGCAUGGUUCUAAAGUGAAAGAUGGUUUUGCUAUCACUUAUAGAUGGACCCGCGCCGUAUUAGCUAGUUGGUAAGGUAACGGCUUACCAAGGCAACGAUACGUAGCCGACCUGAGAGGUGGACGCGCCCCCCGGGACCUGCGCCCCGUUCCCAACCCCCACGGGAGGCAGCAGGGGGGAUUCUUCCGCAAUGGGCGAAGGCCGGACGGAGAAACGCCGCGUGGGUGAAGAAGUGCUGCGGAUCGUAAACCUUUUUUUUUAGGGAAAAACAAAUGGGUAAGUAACUGUCCCCUUUUUGACGGUCCCUAACCAAAAAGCCCCGGCUAACUACGG